rnacentral:ncRNA from 1 species
CCGGUGGUUCUGAAUGGAAGGGCCAUCGCUCAACGGAUAAAAGGUACUCCGGGGAUAACAGGCUGAUACCGCCCAAGAGUUCAUAUCGACGGCGGUGUUUGGCACCUCGAUGUCGGCUCAUCACAUCCUGGGGCUGAAGUCGGUCCCAAGGGUAUGGCUGUUCGCCAUUUAAAGUGGUACGCGAGCUGGGUUUAGAACGUCGUGAGACAGUUCGGUCCCUAUCUGCCGUGGGCGCUGGAGAAUUGAAGGGGGCUGCUCCUAGUACGAGAGGACCGGAGUGGACGAACCUCUGGUGUUCGGGUUGUGUCGCCAGACGCAUUGCCCGGUAGCUAAGUUCGGAAUCGAUAACCGCUGAAAGCAUCUAAGCGGGAAGCGAGCCCUGAGAUGAGUUCUCCCUGGCACUUUAAGUGCUCUGAAGGGUUGUCCGAGACCAGGACGUUGAUAGGCAGGGUGUGUAAGCGUUGUGAGGCGUUGAGCUAACCUGUACUAAUUACCCGUGAGGCUUAACCAU